rnacentral:pre_miRNA from 1 species
UAUAAUUUUUGACUCUUCGUCUUAUUUAAACUUUUUUGCAAUUGAUAUUUUUGUUUUUAUUAGAUGAUAAAUCAUGAAUAGUACUUUACGUGUGACUAAUUUUUUUUAAUUUCCUGAAAAUUCUUCAAAUAAGACAGAUGGUCAAACGUUGGACACGGAAA